AUACAGAGGGUGCGAGCGUUAAUCGGAAUGACUGGGCGUAAAGCGCGCGUAGGGGGUCUAUUAAGUCAGAUGUGAAAUCCCAGGGCUCAACCUUGGAACUGCAUCUGAUACUGGUAGACUAGAGUUUUGGAGAGGGAAGUAGAAUUUCAGGUGUAGCGGUGAAAUGCAUAGAGAUCUGAAGGAAUACCAGUGGCGAAGGCGACUGCCUGGCCAAAAACUGACGCUGAGGCGCGAAAGCGUGGGUAGCAAACGGGAUUAGAUACCCCAGUAGUCC
rnacentral:rRNA from 1 species